CUACGAUUUUAAUAUCUUUCCGAAAACGAAACAAAAACUCCACCAAAUAAAUCGCGGAACUCCCAACGCUCCCUCUCUCGUCCGCAUUCCCCAAUCCAACCCCGCCGUCAUCCUCCUCGUCGUCGUCGGCAACCGCCGGAGGCCUUCGCAAUCUCCGUCUCCUCUCGAACCGCGCCGCAGAUUCCGUCCCUCCCCCCUUUCUGUUCCCUGCACCGUCCCCGCUUUUCCCCCGAAUUUCGGCUGGGUUCGUUUCCCGGGGAGUGCGGUUUCGAUUCUCCGUGAUCGGGAUCGGAUAAUUCGCCCCGAUCGGAGGCCGCCGCCACCGCCUCCGCCGCCGCAGUCGUCUGGGAGUGUAGUCUGCGGCGCCUUCUGGAGGAAGGGUGCCGGAAUGGAGGGGCAGACGUUCGGUGGAGGCGGCGGCGGCAACUGGGUCUCGGCACCAUACCCUGGCACCCAGGCCAAGGAGAGCCCGUUCGUGUUUGAUGCCAAGCCCGCGCCGCAGCAGCUUCAGCUCUUCGGGAACACGGCAGUUGGUACCAGUGGUUAUUAUAACUACAAUGGAAAUAACCACCUGCCUAUAAUGAACCAAGCAAGAAAUACAUGCAAUUAUACAGUGGAUGAAAAGAAGCUCAAGCUUCAGAUGUCCUUGAACAGCUUUCCUCCAGGGGAUGCUGAUCGGUUGCCAUGUACUGGUAAUUCAAGUGCUGUGUCUACUGGGCUAAGAUUGUCCUAUGAGGAUAAUGAGCGCAAUUCUUCCAUCGCAUCCGGUAGUGGAAGCAUGUCUUCAUUGCCUACCACGAGGCCUGAAAUUGAUGCUAUUAUGGCAGAAAUGGAGAAAGAAAACAAAGAGAUUGACUACUAUUUCAGAGUCCAGGUGGAGCAACUCUGUAAGCACGUGAGAGAGAUGAAGCAGAAGCAGAUGGUUUCUUUUGUAGCGUCCGUUGAACGCAGAUUCGGAAAGAGGCUGAGGGAGAAGGAACUCGAGUUGGAGACCAUGAACAAGAAGAGCAAGGAACUGAACGAGCAGAUCAGGCAGGUUGCCAUGGAAGUCCAGUCAUGGCAGUCGGCGGCACUCUACAACCAAUCUGUCGCCAGCAGCCUGAAGACCCAGCUGAUGCAAGUGGUAGCCGAGCAGGCCAAUCUCACCAGGGAAGGCACCGGUGACAGCGAAGAGGAGAACGCGGGGUCCGGCCAGAACAUCAACGCCACACCAGGGGGCUUCUUCGAGUCGAGCCUCCUCCUUGGAGGCAGCAAGAGCACAGCUGCCGGCGCGCUGCGGGCGGCUUGCAGAUGGUGUGGAGCAAAGGAGGCGUCCGUGCUGGUGAUGCCAUGUCGCCACCUGUGCCUGUGCACCGACUGCGAGAAGGUCACAGACGCGUGCCCUGUCUGCCGGUUCCCCAAGAGCGGCAGCGUCGAGAUCAACAUGUCCUAGUCACAAUCUCGUGUCCAGUGAAAUGGGACAGUGAUAUCGUGAAGCAGUACCAACUGCAAACCCUAAAUAAGAAGGAAACAAGGGGGAAUGGAGUGUGAGCAGGGGCACCUGUGCAUGAUGGGUUUUGUUUUGGAGUUCGUUGCGGCAGAAACAAUGUGAAGAAGGGGCAGCUGCACACGCAACGGAACGUGCAGUGCUGGAGCAGCUGUUGUUGCUGCUGCUGCUUUGCCAACUGAAUGGAUUUGGACGAGUGCGUCCUAAGGUAAAGCCAAAAUCCAAUGGUGCCGGUGCGGUUCAUGAUUGCCCGCCUGGAUCAGAAUUGGGACAAAGGUCUACCAUUGUUCUGGCUGGCAAAUCGGGGCGUCCGAUCGAAGAAAUGGUCGGCGCAGAUCUGAUUUACCGUUUGGAACGGCACCGGGACGUAGGUUUUUUCCAUUGCAACUUGUGCGGCGCUCUGUGGCUUGUCUCUUCUUAAACAAGAAAGCUUCGGAAAAAAGAAAGAAAAGAAGAGAGCAAAUUUUUGCAAGACAAAAUGAGAAGAAUGACUGUCAUCUUUUGUGUGUUGUUCUUCCCUGCAAUCAUUCGGCCGGCUCUUGAAAGGAUUUGGAUCGGAUUGGAAGAAAUGGAGCGGGAGACGCUACCGGGGGCGCGGCUUGAUUGCAAGAAUCUAAUCGUGGAGCUACAUCAUCCAUGGCCAAUCAUGAAAUUUCCGUGCAACUCAGCCCCGUGGCUAUGAGCAUCAUUGGACGUCACUCUUUGUUGGUUAAUCUGAUACAAGUAAGGCCUCUUUGAUCUGCAAAAUUCUGAAAAAUGUUAAGAAAAGUACAAUAAUUAUGUGGGCUCAGUCUUUUGAGCCUUGAUUUCCUUUUUA